UACGUAGGGGGCAAGCGUUGUCCGGAAUCAUUGGGCGUAAAGAGCGUGUAGGCGGCCCGGUAAGUCCGCUGUAAAAGUCAAAGGCUCAACCUUUGAAUGUCAGUGGAUACUGCCGGGCUAGAGUCCGGAAGAGGCGAGUGGAACUCCUGGUGUAGCGGUGGAAUGCGCAGAUAUCAGGAAGAACGCCAACGGCGAAGGCAGCUCGCUGGGACGGUACUGACGCUGAGACGCGAAAGCGUGGGGAGCGAACAGG
rnacentral:rRNA from 1 species